rnacentral:rRNA from 1 species
GACGAACGCUGGCGGCGUGCCUAAUACAUGCAAGUCGAGCGGAAUGAAGAAGAAGCUUGCUUCUUCUGAUUUUAGCGGCGGACGGGUGAGUAACACGUGGGCAACCUACCUUGUAGAUUGGGAUAACUCCGGGAAACCGGGGCUAAUACCGAAUAAUCCAUUUUGCUUCAUGGCGAGAUGUUAAAAGGCGGCUUCGGCUGUCACUACGAGAUGGGCCCGCGGCGCAUUAGCUAGUUGGUAGGGUAAUGGCCUACCAAGGCGACGAUGCGUAGCCGACCUGUGAGGGUGAUCGGCCACACUGGGACUGAGACACGGCCCAGACUCCUACGGGAGGCAGCAGUAGGGAAUCUUCCACAAUGGACGAAAGUCUGAUGGAGCAACGCCGCGUGAGUGAAGAAGGUUUUCGGAUCGUAAAACUCUGUUGUAAGGGAAGAACACGUACGAGAGUAACUGCUCGUACCUUGACGGUACCUUAUUAGAAAGCCACGGCUAACUACGUG